rnacentral:rRNA from 1 species
AACGAACGCUGGCGGCAUGCCUAACACAUGCAAGUCGAACGAGACCUUCGGGACAAGUGGCGCACGGGUGCGUAACGCGGGGGAACCUGCCCGUAGGUACCGAAUAACACCCCGAAAGGGGUGCUAAUACCGGAUAACUUCCUCGGACCACAGAUAUAACUUCCUUGGAUGGGCACGCGUUGGUUUGGCUCGUUGGUAGGGUAAAAGCCUACCAAGGCGACGCUCCAUAGCUGGUCUGAGAGGAAGAUCAGCCACACUGGGUCUGAGACACGGCCCAGACUCCUACGGGAGGCAGCAGUGCGGAAUAUAGGACAAUGGGCGGACGCCUGAUCCAGCAAUGCCGCUUGAGUGAUGAAGUCCUUAGGGUUGUAAAGCUCUUUUACCCGGGAUGAUAAUGACGGUACCGGAAGAAUAAGCUCCGGCUAACUCCGUG